rnacentral:rRNA from 1 species
CCUACGGGAGGCAGCAGUAGGGAAUCUUCCGCAAUGGACGAAAGUCUGACGGAGCAACGCCGCGUGAACGAUGAAGGCCUUCGGGUCGUAAAGUUCUGUUGUUAGGGAAGAACAAGUGCUAGUUGAAUAAGCUGGCACCUUGACGGUACCUAACCAGAAAGCCACGGCUAACUACGUGCCAGCAGCCGCGGUAAUACGUAGGUGGCAAGCGUUGUCCGGAAUUAUUGGGCGUAAAGCGCGCGCAGGCGGUUUCUUAAGUCUGAUGUGAAAGCCCCCGGCUCAACCGGGGAGGGUCAUUGGAAACUGGGAAACUUGAGUGCAGAAGAGGAAAGUGGAAUUCCAAGUGUAGCGGUGAAAUGCGUAGAGAUUUGGAGGAACACCAGUGGCGAAGGCGACUUUCUGGUCUGUAACUGACGCUGAGGCGCGAAAGCGUGGGGAGCAAACAGGAUUAGAUACCCUGGUAGUCCACGCUGUAAACGAUGAGUGCUAAGUGUUAGAGGGUUUCCGCCCUUUAGUGCUGAAGUUAACGCAUUAAGCACUCCGCCUGGGGAGUACGGUCGCAAGACUGAAACUUAAGGAAUUGACGG